AUAUUUGGUAUCUAAAUUAUCAUAUUAAUUUUUUUAUUAAUUAUUAUAUUUCACUUCUCAUCUUUAUAUGAUUCUAUUUUUACGGAAAAAUAAUAUCAUCAUUAUAAAAAAAUAAUUAGAGUUUUUUCGCAUAUGCCAUAAUUUGAAUUUUUAAAAACGAAUAUAAACUGUUCAAUACAUGAAAUAAUAUAAUAACGGGUGAAAAAUAGAUUUAAGAAAACUUUCUACUGAGUAACGGGACAUAAAUUUGAAAUAUUUAUAUUCAAUUUCAUACAUAUUAUAUUGAAAAUUUAUAAUAUUAUAUACUACAAUAGUUAAUAACAUAUUAGAUGUGAUUCAAUUUUUAAUACAAGCUGGAAAAUCUUAGAAUUGACGGGUUUAGAUCGAUAUUAAUACAAGAUGGUAUGCUACAUGUGAAACUCUUAAAUUAACAAUCAAACUACAAGUGUAUAAUCUUAAACACUAAACAAUAUAGAUAAUAUCAACAAAACAUAUACAACUCACAGUUUACUAUACAUUUAAAAUCAAAUAAAAUAAUAUCAUAUAUUUUUAAAUCAUCUUUAU
rnacentral:sRNA from 1 species